rnacentral:rRNA from 1 species
AGUUGUAAUUUGUAGAGGGAGUCUCGGGUUUAGGACCGGCCCAAGUGCCUUGGAACAGGAUACCAAAGAGGGUGAGAGUCCCGUAUCCGGCUGGUACCAACGCCCGUGUGAGACCCCUUCGAC